AAACACAGCUAGCAUAUAUCCUAAAAUUGGAACAAUGAGGGGAAGAUUAGAAUGGCCCUUGCACAGGGAUGACAAUCAAAUUUGUGAAGUGUGCCAUAAAAAG